rnacentral:rRNA from 1 species
UACGUAGGGCGCAAGCGUUGUCCGGAAUUAUUGGGCGUAAAGGGCUCGUAGGCGGUCUGUUGCGUCGGGAGUGAAAACUUACAGCUUAACUGUGAGCGUGCUUUCGAUACGGGCAGACUUGAGGCAUUCAGGGGAGAACGGAAUUCCUGGUGUAGCGGUGAAAUGCGCAGAUAUCAGGAGGAACACCGGUGGCGAAGGCGGCGACCUGGGUAGAUACUGACGCUGAGGUGCGAAAGCGUGGGGAGCGAACAGG